GAUGAACGCUGGCGGCGUGCUUAACACAUGCAAGUCGAACGGAAAGGCUCCUGCUUGCAGGGGUACUCGAGUGGCAAACGGGUGAGUAACACGUGGGUGAUCUGCCCUGCACUUCGGGAUAAGCCUGGGAAACUGGGUCUAAUACCGGAUAGGACGAUGGUUUGGAUGCCAUUGUGGAAAGUUUUUCGGUGUGGGAUGAGCUCGCGGCCUAUCAGCUUGUUGGUGGGGUAAUGGCCUACCAAGGCGUCGACGGGUAGCCGGCCUGGGAGGGUGUACGGCCACAUUGGGACUGCGAUACGGCGCAGACUCCUACGUGAGGCAGCAGUGGGGAAUAUUGCACAAUGAGCGCAAGCCUGAUGCAGCGACGCCGCGUGGGGAAUGACGGCCUUCGGGUUGUAAACUCCUUUCGCUAGGGACGAAGCGCAAGUGACGGUACCUGGAGAAGAAGCACCGGCUAACUACGUG
rnacentral:rRNA from 1 species